UACGUAGGGUGCGAGCGUUGUCCGGAAUUACUGGGCGUAAAGAGCUCGUAGGUGGUUUGUCGCGUUGUUCGUGAAAACUCACAGCUUAACUGUGGGCGUGCGGGCGAUACGGGCAGACUUGAGUACUGCAGGGGAGACUGGAAUUCCUGGUGUAGCGGUGGAAUGCGCAGAUAUCAGGAGGAACACCGGUGGCGAAGGCGGGUCUCUGGGCAGUAACUGACGCUGAGGAGCGAAAGCGUGGGGGAGCGAACAGG
rnacentral:rRNA from 1 species